rnacentral:rRNA from 1 species
UUGAACGCUGGCGGCAUGCCUUACACAUGCAAGUCGAACGGUAGAGGGGCAACCCUUGAGAGUGGCGAACGGGUGAGUAAUAUAUCGGAACGUGCCCAGUCGUGGGGGGAUAACGCAGCGAAAGCCGCGCUAAUACCGCAUACGAUCUAUGGAUGAAAGCGGGGGAUCGCAAGACCUCGCGCGAUUGGAGCGGCCGAUAUCAGAUUAGGUAGUUGGUGGGGUAAAAGCCCAC